UAACUCAUAUUGUUUUCAGAAAAAUAUAGGGUAUAAGAUAAAAUAAUCCCCAAAAAAAUAAUUAAAAUGGCCUUAUUACAACCCAAAACCAAAUAAUAAUAUUAAUAAGAUAAAACUUAUAAAGAAAUAAAUCAGCUACUUAUUGCAAUUAAAAGAAACAGAAACAAUAGUGUGGCCAUCUCCGAGUCCUUCGCAACUCCAAACCAUCUAAGCUUAGGGAUUACCUGUACAGUUAGAAACAGGGUGAGUUUACGAAAACUCAGUGUGUAACCCCAAUAACAAACAAACAGUAAUUAACACGGUAUCAGUACAAUCUGGGCCAAAGCCCUAUUUAGUCUUGACAUAUACUAGGCCGAAGCCUUUCCAUAAAUCAUAUCACUGGGCUGAAGCCUUUUCAUAAAUCAUAUCACUGGGCCGAAGCCUUUACUGUAAAUGGUAUGGCCCUUAGGCCCAUUUCAAUAUCACAUGUAAUGUCAAUGGAUGUAUGCAAGCCCAUUUCAAUAUCACAUCUAAUGUCAAUGAAUGUAUGCAAGCCCAUUUCAAUAUCACAUGUAAUGUCAAUGAAUGUAUGCAAGCCCAUUUGGGGAGACUACUCGACCCACCAUCCGCUACUCUCCAACUGUACCAACCAAGCUCUCCAUGUGAGGAAUAACUCAACCCACCCAACCAAACUCUCCACUGGUAGCAUAGCUACUUUGUCAUAUAACUGGAGGCCUAGCCUCUUUUAAUAACUGGGGCAAAGCCCUUUCUGAUAAACUAGGGCAAAGCCCUUUUCGAUAAACUAGGGAAGAAGCCCUUUUGGCACUUCCUCCAUCAAUAUAACCCAUAUCCCAUGCAAUAUGUCAUGUAUGCAGAAUGUCAUGCCCAUAUUUGAAUCAAACAAUCACAGUCAAGUCAUUCAUAUCACCAACAUAUAUUCACAAUCAAAUCCGUCAACCAUAUAGUCCAAGUCAGUCACUUGCCCACAAGGGCAAAACAAUCAUUUUUCAUAUUAUAAGGGUAUUUUAGUAAUUUUACCAAAAAUCAGGGUUUUCCAUGUUCAUUACAAUUGUCAAUAUUUCCGAGUGUUUAAACAAUGAUCUUUAACCCACUUAUCAAAUUCAAGCUUUUGGGCCUAAAACCCCUAAUGGGCCCUACGAAUGCUGAUUUAGCCCACUAAGCCUGCUUAACCCAAAUUUUACAACAAUACUAACCGUGUUAACAUGCAACUUUUUCAAAUUCCAUUUUCUAUCAAUUUUACCCAAAUGGGCCCAAAAGCCCAUUUGGCCCAAUUCCUGCCCAUUGAGGCCCAACUUACCAUUGUGCACAAAAUUGAGUUAUUACCCGUUCC
rnacentral:lncRNA from 1 species